GGUAUGAAUACCCUACGAGUUAGAAAAUAUUUCUUCCCUAUAAUCUGUAUACUUAUUUCUCUACCAGUUUAAAUACAAACAUGCCAAAUAAACCCUGGAACUGCUUAAUUUUGGUUCACAACAUGCAAUACAUUGCGAUCAUCCUCGCCCUCCUUCACAACAAACUACCCGAGCUUAAGAUGUUACAGGUAGUAGUGACACCUCACUGGCAGGUGAUUGUUCCCUCUACAUGUUGCUAUGUUGUUUUUCUUUUUUUCCCGUGUCCAUUUCUUUAUAAACACUUGGUCCAUGAACAAACUGAUUCAAGUGCCUAU